rnacentral:lncRNA from 1 species
CCAAAAUUCAACAUGCCCUUUGGGAUUUAACCUCUGCAGGCUUUGUAGUUAACCUCCAUAUCUAAAUGUGGCCCAUCUGCCUGACUGCUCUGCUCUGGUCUCUGGUCCCUAUUCUUGCUCCCUUGUGGGCUGAGAGACUGCCGCUGAUGCAGUAAGUCUACAGCAAAUGUGAGAACCCGACUCUGGGAGUCAUCUCAUCAAAAUACCAUCCGGUGGACAUCACGUUUGACAAUGACUCAAUCACAUUGCAGCCUACUCCACAAGUCCACACCGCCUCCAAUGAGCAUCU